rnacentral:rRNA from 1 species
CCGCUGAACUUAAGCAUAUCAUUAAGCGGAGGAAAAGAAACUAACCAGGAUUCCCUCAGUACGGGCGACGGAAGCGGGAAAAGCCCACACUGGUAAUCUCCGGGCGUUAGCUCGGCGAAUUGUAAUCUGAAGUCGGGUAGUCUAACUGGGUCGGGCGUCGAAGUGCGCGCGAGCGCGCCGCCAAAGAGGGUGAGAGCCCCGUAAGAGGCCGGAUCCUACCAGGGCUGCCAGUCGAAGAGUCGUGUACUUUGAUACUAGUGCACCAAGCGGGAGAUAAACUUCUUCUAAGGCUAAAUAUAAGUAGGAAACCGAUAGCGAACAAGUACUGUGAAGGAAAGAUGAAAAGCACUUUGGAAAGAAAGUUAAAAGACUUGAAAUCGUUGAGGCGGACCCGGUAGAAAUGUAUUCUAGUGAGACUCUCUGGUGACUUGUACGCGAGGAAGCUUGAGUGUCCGCUGAGACAAGAUGGAGUCGAAUCAUGCUAGAGGCCUUGUAGAAGUCCGCUUUGGAAGUCUGUGAUGGUUGAGUGUGAUUUGGCUUGAGGGGCUUUGAGCGAUCUUGUCAAAAUGGUUUUUACCGACUCGUCUUGAAACACGGACAAGGAANUCUAA